rnacentral:rRNA from 1 species
UACGUAGGCGGGAAAUUAAGUCAGUAGUGAAAUCCCGCAGCUUAACUGUGGAACUGUUAUUGAUACUGGUUUUCUUGAAUAUAGUUGAGGUAGGCGGAAUGUGUAAUGUAGCGGUGAAUUGCUUAGAUAUUACACAGAACACCGAUUGCGAAGGCAGCUUACUAAACUGUUAUUGACGCUGAGGUACGAAAGCGUGGGGAGCGAACAGGAUUAGAUACCCUGGUAGUCC